rnacentral:rRNA from 1 species
GGUAACGGCUCACCAAGGCGAUGAUCGAUAGCUGGUCUGAGAGGAUGAUCAGCCACAUUGGGACUGAGACACGGCCCAAACUCCUACGGGAGGCAGCAGUGGGGAAUAUUGGACAAUGGGCGCAAGCCUGAUCCAGCCAUGCCGCGUGAGUGAUGACGGCCUUAGGGUUGUAAAGCUCUUUCGCUCGGGACGAUAAUGACGGUACCGAGAUAAGAAGCCCCGGCUAACUUCGUGCCAGCAGCUGCGGUAAUACGAAGGGGGCUAGCGUUGUUCGGAAUUACUGGGCGUAAAGCGCGUGUAGGCGGGUCUUUAAGUCAGAGGUGAAAUGCCAAGGCUCAACCUUGGAACUGCCUUUGAUACUGGAGAUCUUGAGUCCGGGAGAGGUGAGUGGAAUUGCGAGUGUAGAGGUGAAAUUCGUAGAUAUUCGCAAGAACACCAGUGGCGAAGGCGGCUCACUGGCCCGGAACUGACGCUGAGACGCGAAAGCGUGGGGAGCAAACAGGAUUAGACACCCUGGUAGUCCACGCCGUAAACGAUGGAUGCUAGCCGUUGGGGAGCUUGCUCUUCAGUGGCGCAGCUAACGCUUUAAGCAUCCCGCCUGGGGAGUACGGUCGCAAGAUUAAAACUCAAAGGAAUGAC